rnacentral:lncRNA from 1 species
CCCGGAGGCUCUGCAGCCCCCACCCCACCCCACCCCUCCCCCGGCUCUUGAUUGACGCUCGUUUAAAUGCGCUCCACGAAAAGCAACUUGGUGCUUGUUACUGGCAAAGUGGCAGGCGUUAUCACCAGUGACAAAUCACAGCUACCAAAGCAAAAAGAAAAGCAGCCGGACUGAGGCUGGGGAUUGGCCCUUUUCGCCACUCCUCCUGUGGCUGGCUGGCGUUUGGCUGGUGGCUGGCUGAGUUAUCUGGGUCUCUCCUCUAUCCCAGCAGGGACCUGGAAACAGCCCAAGUGUCCUCCGAAGGGUCAAGACAUCGACAAGCAACAGGAAUUCGUCAAUCCAGGCUGUGACACACAGCCAGCGGAGACGGCAGAUACAGGUCUGAGUAUGGACCAUUCCUAUGUAAGAUAAAGGGUGGGUGUGUGUGUGUGUGUGUG